GAUGGACCUGCGUUGUAUUAGCUAGUAGGUGAGGUAAUGGCUCACCUAGGCGACGAUACAUAGCCGACCUGAGAGGGUGAUCGGCCACACUGGGACUGAGACACGGCCCAGACUCCUACGGGAGGCAGCAGUAGGGAAUCUUCGGCAAUGGGGGCAACCCUGACCGAGCAACGCCGCGUGAGUGAAGAAGGUUUUCGGAUCGUAAAGCUCUGUUGUAAGUCAAGAA
rnacentral:rRNA from 1 species